GUCCCCCUUUCGGGACAUCCGUAAAAUUAGAACGAGAGAAAAUUGUAUGACCCUUGCGUAAGAAUGAUAUUCACAAAUUAAAAAAUAAUCCAAAGUUAU